rnacentral:rRNA from 1 species
UACAGGGGGGGCAAGCGUUGUUCGGAAUUACUGGGCGUAAAGGGCGCGUAGGCGGCCAACUAAGUCACACGUGAAAUCCCCAGGCUUAACCUGGGAACUGCGUGUGAUACUGGAUGGCUUGAAUUCGGGAGAGGGAUGCAGAAUUCCAGGUGUAGCGGUGAAAUGCGUAGAUAUCUGGAGGAAUACCGGUGGCGAAGGCGGCAUCCUGGACCGACAUUGACGCUGAGGCGCAAAAGCUAGGGGAGCAAACGGG